rnacentral:sRNA from 1 species
AGUAAUUCCCUCCUGGUCCCAGACAGUCUAAGAGGCACAGAUAAACGCAGAAAUGGACCUGAAUUUUCCAAUGACAUCAAGAAAAGGAAGGUGGAUGAUAAGGACUCCAGCCACUAUGACAGUGAUGGUGACAAAAGCGAUGACAACUUAGUUGUGGAUGUGUCUAAUGAGGACCCUUCUUCUCCGCGAGCAAGCCCUGCCCACUCGCCUCGGGAAAAUGGAAUCGACAAAAAUCGCCUGCUAAAGAAGGAUGCUUCUAGCAGUCCAGCUUCCACGGCCUCCUCAGCAAGUUCCACUUCUUUGAAAUCCAAAGAAAUGAGCUUGCAUGAAAAAGCCAGCACGCCUGUUCUGAAAUCCAGCACACCAACGCCUCGGAGCGACAUGCCAACGCCGGGCACCAGCGCCACUCCAGGCCUCCGUCCAGCAGCUGGCUUGAGGACACCCCUGGCAGUGCCCGGCCCAUACCCUGCUCCUUUUGGGAUGGUCCCCCACGCUGGCAUGAACGGCGAGCUGACCAGCCCAGGCGCUGCCUACGCCAGUUUACACAACAUGUCGCCCCAGAUGAGCGCCGCAGCCGC